rnacentral:rRNA from 1 species
UACUCCUACGGGAGGCAGCAGUGGGGAAUAUUGGACAAUGGGCGCAAGCCUGAUCCAGCCAUACCGCGUGGGUGAAGAAGGCCUUCGGGUUGUAAAGCCCUUUUGUUGGGAAAGAAAAGCAUUCGGUUAAUACCCGGGUGUUCUGACGGUACCCAAAGAAUAAGCACCGGCUAACUUCGUGCCAGCAGCCGCGGUAAUACGAAGGGUGCAAGCGUUACUCGGAAUUACUGGGCGUAAAGCGUGCGUAGGUGGUGGUUUAAGUCCGUUGUGAAAGCCCUGGGCUCAACCUGGGAAUUGCAGUGGAUACUGGGUCACUAGAGUGUGGUAGAGGAUAGUGGAAUUUCCGGUGUAGCAGUGAAAUGCGUAGAGAUCGGAAGGAACACCUGUGGCGAAGGCGACUAUCUGGGCCAACACUGACACUGAGGCACGAAAGCGUGGGGAGCAAACAGGAUUAGACACCCUGGUAGUCCACGCCCUAAACGAUGCGAACUGGAUGUUGGGUUCAACUUGGAACCCAGUAUCGAAGCUAACGCGUUAAGUUCGCCGCCUGGGGAGUACGGUCGCAAGACUGAAACUCAAAGGAAUUGACGGGGGCCCGCACAAGCGGUGGAGUAUGUGGUUUAAUUCGAUGCAACGCGAAGAACCUUACCUGGUCUUGACACCCACGGAACUUUCCAGAGAUGGAUUGGUGCCUUCGGGAACCGUGAGACAGGUGCUGCAUGGCUGUCGUCAGCUCGUGUCGUGAGAUGUUGGGUUAAGUCCCGCAACGAGCGCNACCCUUGUCCUUAGUUGCCAGCACGUAAAGGUGGGAACUCUAANGAGACCGCCGGUGACAAACCGGAGGANNNGGGGAUGACGUCAAGUCAUCAUGGCCCUUACGACCAGGGCUACACACGUACUACAAUGGUCNG